GGAUUGUGGCUCAGUGGUAGAGCACUUGCCCGCCAUGUGUGAGGCACUGGGUUCGAUUCUCAGCACCA
rnacentral:tRNA from 1 species